rfam:Ictidomys tridecemlineatus contig052866, whole genome shotgun sequence.
GGAAUGUAGCUCAAGGGUAGAGCACUUGACUAGGAUCGCAUGAGGCCCUGGGUUCAAACCCCAGCACCA